UACGUAGGGGGCAAGCGUUGUCCGGAUUUAUUGGGCGUAAAGAGCGUGUAGGCGGCUAGGUAGGUCCGUUGUGAAAACUCGAGGCUCAACCUCGAGACGCCGAUGGAAACCAUCUGGCUAGAGUCCGGAAGAGGAGAGUGGAAUUCCUGGUGUAGCGGUGAAAUGCGCAGAUAUCAGGAAGAACACCCGUGGCUAAGGCGGCUCACUGGACUGGUAUUGACGCUGAGGUGCGAAAGCGUGGGGAGCAAACAGG
rnacentral:rRNA from 1 species